rnacentral:rRNA from 1 species
AGCAGCCGCGGUAAUACGUAGGGUGCAAGCGUUAAUCGGAAUUACUGGGCGUAAAGCGUGCGCAGGCGGUCCGCUAAGACAGAUGUGAAAUCCCCGGGCUUAACCUGGGAACUGCAUUUGUGACUGGCGGGCUAGAGUAUGGCAGAGGGGGGUAGAAUUCCACGUGUAGCAGUGAAAUGCGUAGAGAUGUGGAGGAAUACCGAUGGCGAAGGCAGCCCCCUGGGCCAAUACUGACGCUCAUGCACGAAAGCGUGGGGAGCAAACAGGAUUAGAUACCCUGGUAGUCCACGCCCUAAACGAUGUCAACUAGUUGUCGGGUCUUCAUUGACUUGGUAACGUAGCUAACGCGUGAAGUUGACCGCCUGGGGAGUACGGUCGCAAGAUUAAAACUCAAAGGAAUUGACGG